GCCUGACCCUCCCCUGACACAGCUCCAGCCAUUAAAGUUUCCCCACAGCUGAGCUGGAAUUGCAGGAAGAGAGGGAUGACUGUGGUUGGUUCCUGGGAAAAAGGAGCUCUGGGUGUCCACCCUGCCAUGGAGGAGCAUCUUCACCUGCUGAUGGAUCAGAAAACUUGCAGAAUCAUUGACGUUGGAAAAGUCCAGCCAGCACCGAUUCUUCCCCAUGGUGCACAUUAAAGACAAAAUGAUAAGCUGGUCUGAGAUGUGUCAGACAAACCAUAUCAUGUCUCACCUCCCCCGGUGAAACAGGAUCUACACAAAG